rnacentral:rRNA from 1 species
AUCUUCCGCAAUGGACGAAAGUCUGACGGAGCAACGCCGCGUGAGUGAUGAAGGUUUUCGGAUCGUAAAGCUCUGUUGUUCGGGAAGAACCGCCGGGAUGACCUCCCCGUCUGACGGUACCUAACGAGAAAGCCCCGGCUAACUACGUGCCAGCAGCCGCGGUAAUACGUAGGUGGCAAGCGUUGUCCGGAAUUAUUGGGCGUAAAGGGCUCGCAGGCGGUUUCUUAAGUCUGAUGUGAAAGCCCCCGGCUCAACCGGGGAGGGUCAUUGGAAACUGGGAGGCUUGAGUGCAGGAGAGGAGAGCGGAAUUCCACGUGUAGCGGUGAAAUGCGUAGAGAUGUGGAGGAACACCCGUGGCGAAGGCGGCUCUCUGGCCUGUAACUGACGCUGAGGCGCGAAAGCGUGGGGAGCGAACAGG